rnacentral:tRNA from 1 species
GUCUUCGUAGCUCAGUUGGUUUAGAGCACUAAACUUUUAAUUUAGGGGUCAUGGGUUCGAGUCCCAUCGGGGACA